GACGAACGCUGGCGGCGUGCUUAACACAUGCAAGUCGAACGGAAAGGCCCUGCUUUUGUGGGGUGUUCGAGUGGCGAACGGGUGAGUAACCUGUGAGUAACCUGGCCUUGACUUUGGGAUAUCUUCAGGAAACUGGGGCUAAUACCGGAUAGGAGCUCCUGCUGCAUGGUGGGGGUCGGAAAGCUUCGGCGGUUGGGGAUGGACUCGCGGCUGAUCAGCUUGUUGGUGGGGUAGUGGCCUACCAAGUCUUUGACGGGUAGCCGGCAUGAGAGGGUGACCAGCCACCUGAGGACUGAGGUACGGCCCAGACGGCUACGUUGGGCAGCGGUGGGGAGUAUUGCACAGUGGGCGGAAGCGUGAGGCAGCAACGCUGGGUGCGGGAUGACGACCAUCGGGUUGUAAAGCGCUUUCGCCUGUUACGAAGCGUGAGUGACGGUAAUGAGAGAAGAAGCACCGGCUAACUACGUG
rnacentral:rRNA from 1 species